UACAGAGGGUGCAAGCGUUGUUCGGAAUUAUUGGGCGUAAAGCGCGUGUAGGCGGCUUUGCAAGUCGGGUGUGAAAGCCCUCAGCUCAACUGAGGAAGUGCGCCCGAAACUGCAGAGCUUGAGUGCCGGAGAGGGUGGCGGAAUUCCCCAAGUAGAGGUGAAAUUCGUAGAUAUGGGGGAGGAACACCGGUGGCGAAAGGCGGC
rnacentral:rRNA from 1 species